rnacentral:rRNA from 1 species
GACGAACGCUGGCGGCGUGCUUAACACAUGCAAGUCGAACGGAAAGGCCCUGCUUUUGUGGGGUGCUCGAGCGGCGAACGGGUGAGUAACACGUGAGUAACCUGCCCUUGACUUUGGGAUAACUUCAGGAAACUGGGGCUAAUACCGGAUAGGAGCUCCUGCUGCAUGGUGGGGGUUGGAAAGUUUCGGCGGUUGGGGAUGGACUCGCGGCUUAUCAGCUUGUUGGUGGGGUAGUGGCUUACCAAGGCUUUGACGGGUAGCCGGCCUGAGAGGGUGACCGGCCACAUUGGGACUGAGAUACGGCCCAGACUCCUACGGGAGGCAGCAGUGGGGAAUAUUGCACAAUGGGCGGAAGCCUGAUGCAGCAACGCCGCGUGCGGGAUGACGGCCUUCGGGUUGUAAACCGCUUUCGCCUGUGACGAAGCGUGAGUGACGGUAAUGGGUAAAGAAGCACCGACUAACUACGUG